GGCGCCAUCGUCUAGCGGUUAGGACAUUGCCCUCUCACGGCGAAAACAGGGGUUCGAUUCCCCUUGGCGCUACCA
rnacentral:tRNA from 1 species